UACCCUUGACAUGCCACUAACGAAGCAGAGAUGCAUUAGGUGCUCGAAAGAGAAAGUGGACACAGGUGCUGCAUGGCUGUCGUCAGCUCGUGUCGUGAGAUGUUGGGUUAAGUCCCGCAACGAGCGCAACCCUUGUCUCUAGUUGCUACGAAAGGGCACUCUAGAGAGACUGCCGGUGACAAACCGGAGGAAGGUGGGGAUGACGUCAAGUCCUCAUGGCCCUUAUGGGG
rnacentral:rRNA from 1 species